rnacentral:sRNA from 1 species
GUUGGAUGUGGUGGCGCACAUCUGUAAUCCCAGCAGCUUAGGAGGCUGAGGCAGGAGGAUCCUGAGUUCAAAACCAGCCUCAGCAAAUGCUGAAGCACUAAGCAACUCAGUGAGACCCUGUUUCUA